AACGAACGCUGGCGGCAGGCUUAACACAUGCAAGUCGAACGCCCCGCAAGGGGAGUGGCAGACGGGUGAGUAACGCGUGGGAACGUGCCUUUAGGUUCGGAAUAGCUCCUGGAAACGGGUGGUAAUGCCGAAUGUGCCCUUCGGGGGAAAGAUUUAUCGCCCUUAGAGCGGCCCGCGUCUGAUUAGCUAGUUGGUGAGGUAAUGGCUCACCAAGGCGACGAUCAGUAGCUGGUCUGAGAGGAUGACCAGCCACAUUGGGACUGAGACACGGCCCAAACUCCUACGGGAGGCAGCAGUGGGGAAUCUUGCGCAAUGGGCGAGAGCCUGACGCAGCCAUGCCGCGUGGAUGAUGAAGGUCUUAGGAUUGUAAAAUCCUUUCACCGGUGAAGAUAAUGACUGUAGCCGGAGAAGAAGCCCCGGCUAACUUCGUGCCAGCCGCCGCUGUAAUAC
rnacentral:rRNA from 1 species